GGUUUCCUUUGGCGUGCGACUGUGCGCUCAAUCCAGCACCAUGGGGAAGAGGGACAAUCGGGUGGCCUAUAUGAACCCAAUAGCAAUGGCGAGAUCAAGGGGUCCAGUGCAGUCUUCAGGGCCAACAAUACAAGAUUAUCUGAAUCGACCAAGGCCUACCUGGGAAGAAGUAAAAGAGCAACUAGAAAAGAAAAAGAAAGGCUCCAAGGCUUUGGCUGAAUUUGAAGAAAAAAUGAAUGAGGAACUGGAAGAAAGAACUGGAAAAACACAGGGAGAAAUUAUUAAGUGGAAGUGAGAGCUCAUCCAAAAAAAGACAGAGAAAGAAAAAAGAAAAGAAGAAAUCUGGUAGGUAUUCAUCUUCUUCUUCAUCAAGCUCUGAUUCUUCCAGCAGUUCUUCUGAUUCCAAAGAUGAGGAUAAGAAACAAGGAAAACGGAGAAAGAAAAAGAAGAACCGUUCACAUAAAUCUUCUGAAAGCUCCAUGUCAGAAACUGAAUCAGACAGUAAGGAUAGUUUAAAAAAGAAAAAGAAGUCAAAAUAUGGAACUGAGAAAGAAAAGGAUAUUAAAGGACUCAGUAAAAAGAGAAAGAUGUAUUCUGAAGAUAAACCUUUAUCAUCUGAGUCCUUGUCAGAAUCAGAGUAUAUUGAGGAGGUGAGAGCAAAAAAGAAGAAAAGCAGUGAAGAACGAGAAAAAGCAACAGAAAAAACGAAAAAGAAAAAGAAGCAUAAGAAACACAGUAAGAAGAAGAAAAAGAAGGCUGCUAGUUCAAGUCCUGACUCACCAUAACAUUAAGAAAAAUCAGGAUUCCCUUCUAAAGAAAGUGCAAUGUCUGAGGAAAUUUCAACUGUGAAAACUACAACAUAUUUACUAAAAUGCAUGAAUUUUCUUGUUUUUAGAAUUAUUCCUGGACUAUUCAGUAGCCACUCAGAUGCCACUGUGUGAAAGGGCCAUAAAUGUUGCCUGCUGCUUGAACAUCUUUUUUUUUUUCUUCCAGUGCUUGAUAACUCUGGGAGAUAAGACACUGCAGUCAUACUAGUGGUUAAGAUAUUUGGGAAUAAAAUUAAUACUUUUGACUAGAAGUGUCUAAGGAUAAACCAACAGAAAUUGAAUCUGGAUGUAUCUUUAAGAUGUAAUCAGAAAUGACCAGAUGACUCUAGUUAAAAUUUUUGAAGGAGGGAUUACAUUAAUAUUUUAAAACCCUUACUCUGUAGAUAAGUGUAUCUUAAUUUUUUCCCCUUGUAUACUUUUAUUUACCUGGGGAAGGAGCUUUUAGGGUUGGGGGGGGUGGUUUGCUAUCUCUUUAGCUAGCAGAAUAGUGUGCCUUUGAUCCUCACACAUCCUAUAUUCUGGACACAGUAGCCAUGCUUCACAGGGAGGUCAGAGCUGGCUACCAGCAGUCUUGCCCUUUACUGAGCUUAGUGUCAUCCUUGGAUGCUGUCAUAUGCUGCUUUCAGUGAACCAGAGAAACAGCCAUUUGCAGCAUGAGAAAGCCCCAAAAGCUCUGAGAUUUACCUCCACUUCAGUAAUAAUGAAAAAUUUUUAGCAUUAGAAUGUGUUAUGUCAUUUGAAUUAAUUUUGAUUACACUUUGGCUUGGGAGAGGAAUUAUUUUAAAUAGACACUGGUACUUUUUGAACUUGAUAGCUAAAGAUUCUAAAAUGCAUGUUUUAUACUAAGUUUUAACCAGUCAGGAAAAUUUUAUGUAACCAGUGAUAGUUUAUUUUUUGUAUGAAUUUUGUUUAGGCUGCAAUGUUUAGCUUUUGUUAACUCCUCACUCUUGCUGUCUUAAGUUCAUUACUGUGUUUAAUGGCCUACUUGCCAAGAUAUUUAGCAUGUAAAAAGCAGGAUUUUGAUUAAAAAAAAAAAAAAAGGCUUCAUAUUGAAGCUGAGACUUACAAUAACAAGUUGAGUGGCAAGCCUGGUAUGCUGUGUCUUAUUGCCAGAAUCUUAGUAAAUGUAAUGUUUUAAAA